rnacentral:rRNA from 1 species
GACGAACGCUGGCGGCGUGCCUAAUACAUGCAAGUUGAGCGAUGAAGAUUGGUGCUUGCACCAAUUUGAAGAGCAGCGAACGGGUGAGUAACGCGUGGGGAAUCUGCCUUUGAGCGGGGGACAACAUUUGGAAACGAAUGCUAAUACCGCAUAAUAACUUUAAACAUAAGUUUUAAGUUUGAAAGAUGCAAUUGCAUCACUCAAAGAUGAUCCCGCGUUGUAUUAGCUAGUUGGUGAGGUAAAGGCUCACCAAGGCGAUGAUACAUAGCCGACCUGAGAGGGUGAUCGGCCACAUUGGGACUGAGACACGGCCCAAACUCCUACGGGAGGCAGCAGUAGGGAAUCUUCGGCAAUGGACGAAAGGCUGACCGAGCAACGCCGCGUGAGUGAAGAAGGGUUUCGGAUCGUAAAACUCUGUUGGUAGAGAAGAACGUUGGUGAGAGUGGAAAGCUCAUCAAGUGACGGUAACUACCCAGAAAGGGACGGCUAACUACGUG